rnacentral:rRNA from 1 species
GUUGGGUUAAGUCCCGCAACGAGCGCAACCCUUAUUUCUAGUUGCCARCAUUCAGUUGGGCACUCUAGAGAGACUGCCGUCGACAAGACGGAGGAAGGCGGUGAUGACGUCAAAUCAUYAUGCCCCUUAUGACCUGGGCUACACACGUGCUACAAUGGUUGGUACAACGGGAUGCUACCUGGCGAGAGGACGCCAAUCUCUUAAAACCAAUCUCAGUUCGGAUUGUAGGCUGCAACUCGCCUACAUGAAGUCGGAAUCGCUAGUAAUCGCGGAUCAGCAUGCCGCGGUGAAUACGUUCCCGGGCCUUGUACACACCGCCCGUCACACCACGGGAGUUUGCAACACCCGAAGUCGGUGAGGUAACCGCAAGGAGCCAGCCGCCGAAGGUGGGGUAGAUGACUGGGGUGAAGUCGUAACAAGGUAUCCGUACCGGAAGGUGCGGAUGGAUCACCUCCUUUCUGCGGCCGCUUAU